rnacentral:rRNA from 1 species
GAUGAACGCUGGCGGCGUGCCUAAUACAUGCAAGUCGAGCGAACGGACGAGAAGCUUGCUUUUCUGAUGUUAGCGGCGGACGGGUGAGUAACACGUGGAUAACCUACCUAUAAGACUGGGAUAACUUCGGGAAACCGGAGCUAAUACCGGAUAAUAUUUUGAACCGCAUGGUUCAAAAGUGAAAGACGGUCUUGCUGUCACUUAUAGAUGGAACCGCGCUGCAUUAGCUAGUUGGUAGGGUAACGGCUUACCAAGGCAACGAUGCAUAGCCGACCUGAGAGGGUGAUCGGCCACACUGGAACUGAGACACGGUCCAGACUCCUACGGGAGGCAGCAGUAGGGAAUCUUCCGCAAUGGGCGAAAGCCUGACGGAGCAACGCCGCGUGAGUGAUGAAGGUCUUCGGAUCGUAAAACUCUGUUAUUAGGGAAGAACAUAUGUGUAAGUAACUGUGCACAUCUUGACGGUACCUAAUCAGAAAGCCACGGCUAACUACGUG